rnacentral:ncRNA from 1 species
AAAUAUCCGAUGAAAGAGCGAGUAAAUAAUGGAUAAUGUGUAGAUAGAGAGAAUUAGCGUGGCUGAAACUAAUUCCCGUUUGUAUUAUUGAAAGACACUCUGGAGGACUAGCAAUACAAAGUUGCUACGUUACGAGCGUUAAUCGUUGAGGAAAGCAUGAAGCUUUCAAAAAAAAGGUGGUACCACGGUCUAUUCAUAUACACUCGUCCUUAUU